AAUUUAGUGUGUGCGAUACU
rnacentral:miRNA from 1 species